GGAAUGUGGCUAAUCACUUUUUAUUUGUAGUUUAUCUGAAUGUCCUUGCACUUUUCAGGAGUUAAGGCAGAUGUGGAGGCACAACGGGUGACACCAGACACACACCAAGCACAUUAUGUUCGGACAUUCAAUCAUGACAUGAUCCAUGUGGAUGCUGUCCAUUGAGGAAAGAGUUUGUUCAGCGGUUUCUGGAUAGAAUUAAGUCCAAAGAUGGGAAAAAGUGCACAUCCAGACAAGGAGCAAGCAAAAAGACAAGGAACUUGGUGCAGAGAAAAGCUGUGGCGAUUAACCCCCAUGUGAACAGCUUCAUGCAGUCCCUGAUUGAGUUCGAAUGGACGACUUCAAAGUAAAGGCCACUGUGGUCUGUCUGCCACAGUUUAAUGCAUUUAUUUUUAGUGUUAAAUGAAAUUCAAGUAGAAUAUUUAAAACUAUGGGCCAGUG